GGGCAGACUCGGCGAUGCCGGAGGCUCUUUCUCCUGUCCUGCUCCAGCCUAAGCUUUCAGCAGGCCCCGUGUGACGUCAACAAGGAAAAGCUAUAAAAGUUGGCAUGAGAAUCCCAUUCUUCUUUCCUCUCAGAAAUUUUCUACAUUACACAAAAAUAAAGGGGCACAGGGUUUGUAUGGUUUCUUUUCCAUGUUCUAUACAAGUGACAUUUACUGUAAGUUUUGAAAACCAGCAAUCUACUUGUCAAAUUUGUCCAAUAUUCCAAUUUUGUUUGUUCUACCCAGCUUUAAAAAAAUAAUGAAUCUAAAUGCCUUUAAACAGUGCUGCAUUCCUUAUUAUAUAAUACCAUGCUCACUGGUUAGUCCUAGCAUUUUUUUUAAAUGUUGUAAGUUUUGUUUUUCCACUAUUUCCUUCAUUCUCUUUUUAUGAAAUCCUUUAUCUAUGAUUCGCUCCUUCAAGUUUUAAAUGGUUACUUUUUUUUCUUAAUCUUUUGUAUCUGUCCUGCAUCGAGAGUGAAAUUAUCUGCCCUGUCCUUCAAAUCUCUGAUUUUCUCUUUGAAAAUAUCUAUUUCAGAGUACACCAUCUAUUGAAUCUUUCAUUUAAUGACUGCAGGGGGUUUUUGUUUUCAUGAUUUCAAAUUGCUUAUUUUUUUUUUUUAUAGAUACUACCUCAUUUCGUUUAUGCCCUAAUUUUCUCCCAAGAAAAUGUUGGUGGUUAUUAUUUUACUUCCUCUGUACAAGAAUCCUCAAUUUUGGGGGUCAGACUAACCCAGAUCCUGGAUUUAUACUGGCCAUUGAGCUGCCCUACUGGAGCGAGGGUGGACCUCUUCCAGGCUGUGGAGAUGAGCCAGUAGGGAAUUGGGCCUGGGUACUGACUUUCAGGCAAGCCCAGUGUUCCUUCUAAAUAUUCUGUGCUGUGUAUGCUAUACAUUUUUCAUGGAACACUUUAAGGCCAUAUUUGCACUCCACGCUUGGAAGGUCCCAUCUGUCUUUGCCUUGAUACUCACUCCAUUCCCCUUUGUAUAUGUGAUCUCAACAAACAUUUGAAGCUCAUGCCUCUUCUGUGUCAUCUUUUCUUUAAGCUAUUGCUAGUUUUGUUUUGUUUCCCCCUCAUUGUUCUCUGUGUGGUCAUUUCUGAUCUAACUGGUCUCCUUUAGAACCAUUUGGGUGUGUUGAUAAUAUUGGAGGUUCCAGAAACAAUACACAUGAAUCCCGAAAGAAAAAUCCUUUUGACAAAUACGUGGAGUUAUUAUAAAUACUACGUUUGUAAAAUGUGUUAGAGCAUACAAUGUAUUAAUAAAAUAUUCCAGAUGUGGCUUCAUUUAUGAAAAUGUGGGAUGUUCGUGAGAAGGGGCCUUAUUGAAGGCUGAUCGUAGUACAUGUGACCUCAGGCUUCAUGAUAUAUAAGCAGAACUGAUGAUAUCUGCUUAUCAGAAAUGUCACCACCUUCAGUGUUUCAUUCCUCGGAUGAGUAAAUCUCAAGUCCAAGCAAGUUAACUGGUGACAAAGCCAGAAGCAAAACGAACGCCUACUGGCUUUGAAUCAUUGUUUAAUUUAAAGGAGUAGAUAAAUUAGAUUUAAUGCUCUAUAUUCAGACAAAAUGUCUAUUCUUCAUAGAUCUCAAAGGACAUUAUGACAAAACAUGCCUUUUGAUGUGGGGCUUCCUUAAUUUUCAUGUCUCUUUCACAACCUCCAAAAUAUGACUUAGAAUUUCUUACAUUAACAUGCAAUGUUUGAAACCAAUAUCUUCACUCAGUUUCUGAUAUUCAUUCUUGAAUAUGACGAAUGAGAGAUGGAGGGUCAUUCUUGAAUAUCAGAAAUGAGAGAUGGAGUAGGGGUGGGGGUGAUUUGAAAAUCAGAUUUGUAGGGGGAGUUCCUGUUGUGGCUCAGCGGUUAACAAACCCAACUAUUAUCCAUGAGGAUGCAGGUUUGAUCCCUGGCCUUGUUCAGUAGGUUAAGGAUCCGGUUG
rnacentral:lncRNA from 1 species